CUGGGGUGUGCAUUGAUAUUUUGCUGCGUGUUGAUUUGUUGGGACGAAGACAACCGUGUCAUACUUUUAUGCAAACCGCCGACGGAUCCUCCUGGUGACAACGAAACACAUAACAGUUUGUCGGGCUCAUAAAAAACCAAUACCUGCGACAUUGAGCCUGGUCAUGCUGCGGUGUGAGUUGGGCCCGGUGUGCAGGCGGCCCGUGCUGCGCGAGUCGCCCAGCUUGGCGCGCCGCGUGUAGGUCGGCCCGCCGGGCGGCGGCGCGGCCACGGGCGGCGGCGGCUGCGACCCGCCCAACUUCACGAUCGUCACCCCGCCUGAUGUUCGAUUCACUUCGCUGUUACAUAAAUAUAUGGAGAGCUCGGAGGGGGUGCGAAGUUCAGCGCCUCCUGCGCCAGCCGCUGCGGCCCGGGGCCCAGCCUCUGUCGACAGUUACCUGUGGUGCGGGCGCAGCGCGGCCAGCAGGCGGUCGGAGAAGAGCGCGGGGUAGGCGCUGCACAGCGCCGUGGCCUCGCGCACCAGCGCCGCCUGGCUGGCGCGCCCGCCCGCCACGCUCUCCAGCACGAAGUUCA